GACGGAGGAUGCAAGCGUUAUCCGGAAUGAUUGGGCGUAAAGCGUCCGCAGGUGGCAGUUCAAGUCUGCUGUCAAAGACCGGGGCUUAACUUCGGAAAGGCAGUGGAAACUGACGAGCUAGAGUGCAGUAGGGGUAGAGGGAAUUCCCGGUGUAGCGGUGAAAUGCGUAGAGCUCGGGAAGAACAUCGGUGGCGAGAGCGCUCUACUGGACUGCAACUGACACUCAGGGACGAAAGCUAGGGGAGCGAAUGGG
rnacentral:rRNA from 1 species